rnacentral:tRNA from 1 species
UGCGGAGUAGCUCAGACGGAUGAGAGCGCCGGUCUCAUAAACCGGAGGGCGCGAGUUCGAUUCUCGCCUCCGCAACCA